AACCAUGUACAACAUGUCUCUUCUUUUAUGUUGUUUAUUUGAAUCUAUUUUUCAAUUGUUUUUAUUUUGAUUUUCAUUAACUCUUUAAUUUUGUACUUUUGUUCCAACUCAGAUCCUUAAGUGAGGCCGCAAAUUGCUACAGAGGUAUUUGGAUGAGGUUGAUUCUGCAACAUGAUUUCAUAUUAUUGGAACAGUGAUCAACACAGUAGAAAUCAAUUUGAUAAUUUAGAAUAGGCAUUUGUUGUUUCUUAGAAUCUAAUGUUUCUUUUGUCAGGUAACUAGGAUCGAAGACGACGAAGAAGUUCAUCAGAAGACAAUUGAAGAAAUUUCUAGAAGAAUAACUCCAAUUAAACUGGAAACGAGAGACGACCAUAUUUUAUAGGAGGAAAAUAGUACUAGAUAGCAACUCCUAAUCAAUUCCGAGUUCUACUGAAUAAAAUUCAAUACAUGUUUUUCUUUUUUCAUUGUAAUUUGUUUUUAUUUUGUAAAAAUGUAUGUCAAAAUAAAUAAACCAUGAUUAAUUUAUUAUAUUAAA